AAUACAUUGAAAGUCUGAAAAUAUGCGCAAUGUGCAACACCUCUUGACUUCCUACCUCCUCAAAGAGGAUCAGCAGAGGAAGCUGUAAACUGAGAAAUUAGAACAGAAAAAGAAACUUUGGAGGUCAUUCAGUCCAAUUCAUUUUACAGAGGUCUGAGGGAACUUGCCCAAUUUCACUUGCGCAGAAUACCUCCUAGACUGGGAGUUAUUAAACAGAGUGGAUACCCAAGAUAAGGAGAUUGUGAGAGAACACAUAUCAGUUCCUGAUAAAUUCAGAUCACCUAUCCUAGAGGAACUGCAUAUUUGA
rnacentral:lncRNA from 1 species